UAGGAAUACCCGCUGAACUUAAGCAUAUCAAUAAGCGGAGGAAAAGAAACCAACAGGGAUUACCCUAGUAACGGCGAGUGAAGCGGUAAUAGCUCAAAUNNGAAAUCUGGCUCUUGGGCCUGAGUUGUAAUUUGUAGAGGAUGUUUCGGGCAAGGUUUAGGUUUAAAUUUCUUGGAACAGAAUGUCAUAGAGGGUGAGAGUCCCGUCUUGAACCGCUGGCCGCGUCCAUGUGAAACUCCUUCGACGAGUCGAGUUGUUUGGGAAUGCAGCUCAAAAUGGGUGGUAAAUUUCAUCUAAAGCUAAAUAUUGGCCAGAGACCGAUAGUGCACAAGUAGAGUGAUCGAAAGAUGAAAAGCACUUUGAAAAGAGAGUUAAACAGUAUGUGAAAUUGUUGAAAGGGAAGCGCUUGUGACCAGACUUGAGUCUGACGGUUCCCUGGGUCUUUUGACUCGGUUAUUCCGUCUUAACCAGGCCAGCAUCGGUUUGGGUGGUUGGUUAAAGGUCUUGGGAAUGUAUCUACCUCCGGGUCGACUUAUAGCCCAGGACGUAAUGUGGCCUACCUGGACCGAGGAACGCGCUUUUGCUCGGAUGCUGGCGUAAUGGUUACAAGCGGCC
rnacentral:rRNA from 1 species